rnacentral:rRNA from 1 species
UACGUAGGGUGCAAGCGUUAAUCGGAAUUACUGGGCGUAAAGCGUGCGCAGGCGGUUUUGUAAGUCUGACGUGAAAUCCCCGGGCUCAACCUGGGAAUUGCGUUGGAGACUGCAAGGCUAGAAUCUGGCAGAGGGGGGUAGAAUUCCACGUGUAGCAGUGAAAUGCGUAGAGAUGUGGAGGAACACCGAUGACGAAGGCAGCCCCCUGGGUCAAGAUUGACGCUCAUGCACGAAAGCGUGGGGAGCAAACAGG